rnacentral:rRNA from 1 species
CAAGGAAUUUUCCGCAAUGGGCGCAAGCCUGAUGCAGCAACACCGUGUGGGCGAGGAAGGUCUUCGGAUCGUAAAGCCCUGUUGUUGGGGACGAAGGGCGAAGGGUUAAUAGCCCCUAGCCUGACGGUACCCUUCGAGGAAGCCCCGGCUAACUACGUGCCAGCAGCCGCGGUAAUACGUAGGGGGCGAGCGUUGUCCGGAAUUAUUGGGCGUAAAGAGCGUGUAGGCGGCCUGGUAAGUCUGCCGUGAAAACCUGGGGCUCAACCCUGGGCGUGCGGUGGAUACUGCCAGGCUAGAGGAUGGUAGAGGCGAGUGGAAUUCCCGGUGUAGCGGUGAAAUGCGCAGAUAUCGGGAGGAACACCAGUAGCGAAGGCGGCUCGCUGGGCCAUUCCUGACGCUGAGACGCGAAAGCGUGGGGAGCAAACAGGAUUAGAUACCCGCGUAGUCC